UAAUGUAUGGGGAUCUGCCCGAUAGAGGGGAAUAACUACUGGAAACGGUGGCUAAUACCGCAUAAUGUCUACGGACCAAAGCAGGGGCUCUUCGGACCUUGCACUAUCGGAUGAACCCAUAUGGGAUUAGCUAGUAGGUGGGGUAAAGGCUCACCUAGGCGACGAUCUCUAGCAGGUCUGAGAGGAUGAUCAGCCACACUGGGACUGAGACACGGCCCAG
rnacentral:rRNA from 1 species